UACGAAGGGUGCAAGCGUUACUCGGAAUUACUGGGCGUAAAGCGUGCGUAGGUGGUUUGUUAAGUCUGUUGUGAAAGCCCCGGGCUCAACCUGGGAAUGGCAAUGGAUACUGGCAAGCUAGAGUGCGGUAGAGGGUAGUGGAAUUCCCGGGUGUAGCGGUGAAAUGCGUAGAGAUCGGGAGGAACACCAGUGGCGAAGGCGGCUACCUGGACCAGCACUGACACUGAGGCACGAAAGCGUGGGAGCAAACAGG
rnacentral:rRNA from 1 species